UGACCAAUCAAAGUGAUUCUCUUUCUAAACUAAUUACCCAUUAAUUGAACUGCUACUUUCACGCACAUGGUAUUAACACUCUGACAUACUCACACAUCUCAGCUCCAGUUCCUGUUUUCCCUUUAAAUCUCAGUCUCUGGAGGGCACUGUAGCAGUAGCCCCGACCAUACGCCCACGGGGACACGGGUUCAAAUCCGACCUGCUGUCAUUUCCCGAUCCCACUUCCCACCUCUUCUCUCCAUCUCAUUUCCUGUCCAAACCUUCACUGUCCUAUCGAUUAAAGGCAAAAAGCCCCCUCAAAAAUCUCAGUUUCUCUUUGUGUUGGACUCCUAGAUCCAGAUCCUCCUCACGUCAGGAGAACACGCAGUUUGCCGAUUUUGCCUCCAAACAUGGGAGGAGAGAGUCCAGCAGGCUUCUGGGCUUCAAAUCCGGUUUCAGUUUCUGUUGGGCUCCCACAUCACAGGAGGAGAAGAAGAAGAAGUAAGGAACAGCCUCCAUCCAUGGGAGGAGAGAGUCCUGGUCCAGCGCCCCCAGUGUCAGGAAACAGAGAGAGAUUCUACAGCAGUGAGACCUACCAGGAGGCAGAGGAACAGCUCAGAGAGAUAGAGAGAAUAAUACAGGGAGAACGAGAGGUGGAGGAGAGGAAACUGAGGGAGGAGAGAGAGAGAAGAGAGGAACUUGAUACAAAUGUUCAGGAGUCUCUGAAGAUGAUGGAGGGAGAGAUUCAGCAGCAUGAAGGAGAAAUUAGAAUAUUAAAUGAAAGAACAACAGAACUGGAGAGAAAGAUGAAAGAAGAGAGGGAUGAAGAGAAGAGGAGGGAGAUGGAGAGAGAGUUAAAGAGAGAGAUUACACAGAGAGAGGAGAUGGAGAGAAAAAUGAUCAGAGUGAGAGAAAAGAGAGAAAGAGAGAGGAGAGAGAUGGAGGAGAGUCACAGAGAGGAGGUGGAGGAGAUGAGAGAGAGCUAUGAGAGAGAGGCCAGGGCUGAAGCAGAGAGAAACCUCAUGAAGAUCAUCCUGCCUGAACUACAGAGAAACAUCAGCAUCACCAAGGAGAAGAUGGAGGGACAGUUCAACAGACAGAUGGAGGAGAAGAACAGGGAGAUGGAGGGACUGUUGAAGACUGUUCAUAAACUCAGCCGUUUGGUGGAGGAGGCUGAUGAGCGAAGAUCACUUCAGAGUUGAGAGAUGGAGGAGGGGGAGAAAUAAAACAGAGAUGUUUGUCA
rnacentral:lncRNA from 1 species